AGUUUGAUUCUGGCUCCAGAUUGAACGCUGGCGGGAUGCUUUGCACAUGCAAGUCGAACGGCGCGCUGGACUUCGGUCUGGUGGCGAGUGGCGAACGGGUGAGUAAUGUAUCCGGAACGUGCCUAGUAGCGGGGGAUAACUACGCAGCGUAGCUAAUACCGCAUACGCCCUUCGGGGGAAAGCGGGGGACCUUCGGGCCUCGCACUAUUAGAGCGGCCGAUAUGGAUUAGCUGGUUGGUGCGGUAACGGCUCGCAAGGCGACGAUCCGUAGCUGGUUUGAAGGGACUGACCAACCACACUGGGACUGAGACACGGCCCAGACUCCUACGGGAGGCAGCAGUGGGGAAUUUGGACAAUGAGCUUCCCUGAUGCAGCCAUCCGCGUGUGCGAUGAAGGCCUUCGGGUUGUAAAGCACUUUUGGCGGAAAAAACGGCACGGGAUGGCUUACGUGCAACUGACAGUACCUGCAGAAUAAGCACCGGCUAACUACGUGCCAGCAGCCGCGGUAUGCGUAAGUGCAAGCGUUAAUCAGAACUACUGGAGCGUAAAGCGUGCGCAGGCGGUUCGGAAAGAAAGAUGUGAAAUCCCAGAGCUUAACUUUGGAACUACAUUUUUAACUACCGAGCUAGGGUGUGUCAGAGGAGGUGGAAUUCGCGUGUAGCAGUGAAAUGCGUAGAUAUGCGGAGGAACACCGAUGGCGAGGCGGCCUCCUGGGAUAACGCGACGCUCAUGCACGAAAGCGUGGGGAGCAAACAGGAUUAGAUACCCUGGUAGUCCACGCCCUAAACGAUGUCAACUAGCUGUUGGGGCCUUCGGGCCUUGGUAGCGCAACUAACGCGUGAAGUUGACCGCCUGGGGAAGUACGGUCGCAAGAUUAAAACUCAAAGGAAUUGACGGGGGUCACUGGCGACGUGGAUGACCCUACUAUAGUUCAUUAAGUACGCGCGAAAACACUACGCCAGUAUAUCGCCAGAGUCAGAGAUUUGGGAGUGCUCCCCGAAGGCUGGAACACAGUUUUUACGUAACUGUCGUCAGCUCGUGUCGUGAGAUGUUGGGUUAAGUCCGCAACGAGCGCAACCCUUGUCAUUAGUUGCUACGAAGGGCACUCGGCGGGCUGCCGGUGACAAGCCGGAGGGAGGUGGGGAUGACGUCAAGUCCUCAUGGCCCUUAUGGGUAGGGCUUCACACGUCAUACAAUGGUCGGGACAGAGGGUGUAGCUUCACGCGAGGGGGAGCCAAUCCCAGAAACCCGAUCGUAGUCCGGAUCGCAGUCUGCAACUCGACUGCGUGAAGUCAAGAAUCGCUAGUAAUCAUGGAUCAGCAUGUCGCGGUGAAUACGUUCCCGGGUCUUGUACACACCGCCCGUCACACCAUGAGGUGGGUUUUACCAAAAGUAGUUAGCCUAACCUGUAAGGAGGGCGAUUACCACGGUAGGAUUCAUGAUUGGGGUGAAGUCGUAACAAGGUAA
rnacentral:rRNA from 1 species